GACGAACGCUGGCGGCGUGCUUAACACAUGCAAGUCGAACGGAAAGGCCCUGCUUUUGUGGGGUGCUCGAGUGGCGAACGGGUGAGUAACACGUGAGUAACCUGCCCUUGACUUUGGGAUAACUUCAGGAAACUGGGGCUAAUACCGGAUAGGAGCUCCUGCUGCAUGGUGGGGGUUGGAAAGUUUCGGCGGUUGGGGAUGGACUCGCGGCUUAUCAGCUUGUUGGUGGGGUAGUGGCUUACCAAGGCUUUGACGGGUAGCCGGCCUGAGAGGGUGACCGGGCACAUGGAGACAGAGAUACGGCCCGGACUCCUACGGGAGGGAGCAGUGGGGAAUAUUGCACUAUGGGCGGGAGCCUGAUGCAGCAACGCCGCGUGCGGGAGGACAGCCUUCGGGUUGUAAACCGCUUACGCCUGUGACGAAGCGUGAGUGACAGUAAUGGGUAAAGAAGCACCGGCUAACUACGUG
rnacentral:rRNA from 1 species